UACGAAGGGGGCUAGCGUUGCUCGGAAUGACUGGGCGUAAAGGGCGCGUAGGCGGUUUGUACAGUCAGGUGUGAAAUCCUGGAGCUCAACUCCAGAACUGCCUUUGAUACUGGGGAUCUCGAGUCCGGGAGAGGUGAGUGGAACUGCGAGUGUAGAGGUGAAAUUCGUAGAUAUUCGCAAGAACACCAGUGGCGAAGGCGGCUCACUGGCCCGGUACUGACGCUGAGGUGCGAAAGCGUGGGGAGCAAACAGG
rnacentral:rRNA from 1 species